ensembl:lncRNA
AUUUACAGAAAGAUAAAGCACACCUGAAAAAUGCCCUCAUAAGACCAACUAAAUGAUCAAUAAAGUAAAUUAGUAUUUUAAGACUAAUGACUUCUUCACCGCAAGACAAUGGCUAAAAGAACAUAGGUUCAAAAUGUAUAGAGAAAUGCUUCCUCCACCACGAGUCAGCCUCCUCAUUUUCUGCAGCAUUUUCCAUCUGUGUCAUUGGCGUAGUACACACGUGCCUGACCUAGAUGUUUACUGGCAUUUGCAGCAUCGUGAUUAUCUUCCUCAUCAUUAUCUUUGAAGCCCAACUGAAAUGAUGCCCUGUAACUACGGGUCUGUGAGUUGUUUUGGAACAGGAUGUAUCAGCCUGUCAGCAUUGUUUGAGAGCUCAAGAACUAUUUGCUGACUAGCUAAAGAAUCUUCAGGUUGAAACAGAAUCUUAAAGAUCUGAGGUAAAUGAAUACAGUUAAGUGUAACUGAAGAGGAACCGGUAAGAAAAGCAACAGAACUGAAGAAUAGCAAUUUCCCCGAGAGAGAGAGAGUGAAAGAAAAAGUUCUGUAGGGUUGGAAGUCUUGCCCAAAGGGGAACACUUCCAACAGAUCCAGGACACCCGGGAAGAAUCCCAUCCAAUUAUAAGCUUGUGGUGGAAGCCAGCCAUCAGCAACUCCUAGAGCCAUCCACCUGUUACCCUGGCAUCAGGGAAAGUACAUUAGGUAAUUCAGAUUCUCCUGGGCUCAAAUCCUCGUCUCUGCUGCACAUGACAUCCAAGGCACGUGGUCAGUAGAUUGAUUUUUUACGAUUUCACCAGCAACUGGCGGGCUGCAACAUCACGGAGCUGUUUGAAAUCAUCAUAUGUACUACUAUGAAGCAACUUUGCAGAAGUAACUCAUGUUACUAACUGUCAGAUUUUAAAACUGGGAAAUUAUCCUGAAUUAUCUGAGUUGUUUACAAUACAAUCACAUGAGCCCUUAAAUGCAGAAGAGGAAGGUGGGAGCGAUGAGGCAAAAGUCAGAAAAAUUUAAAACAUGAGAGGAAAUGACUUACCAUUGUCGACUCUGAGAAUGGAGAAAGGGGAACAUGACCAAAAAAUUCAGUCUAAUUCAAGAAGCUGGAAUGAUCCUUGGUUGACAGCCAGAAAGGAAAUAAGGAAUUCAGCCCUACAACCCCAUUGAACUAAGUUCUACCAACGCCUGGAGUGAAAUGAGAAAAGAUUCUCCUCAGGCUCCAGAUAGGAACACAGUCCUGCUGACACUUUUAUCUCCACCUUCAGAGACUCUAUCAGAGAACCAGCUGAGCGACACUGUGCUCAGACUUCCAAUCCAUGUCAACAGUGAGACAAGUGGGUAUUGUUUUGCGCAUUAGAUUUGUGUAAUUUUUUACAGAGCAAUAGAAAACAAAUACACCAAACAUGGCAAUCUCUCCUCAUGCUGCGUAUUCUCCCACACUGUUUGAUUUUAAUUUUUUUCCGUUAAUCUGCAGUGUGAGGAUCUAGUGAAAGCGAGGUGCCUCUGUCCGAGAUACACAGGAGCAAGAGAAUCAUUGAUGGUGUUGAGCCAUAUUAUUCUGCAAUUUCUUCUUUUUUCCUUCUCGUGGAGACACGACAAUUACUUUUUAUUUGAGAGGAAAUAAAGAUAAAGUUUAAUAUACAAUUUUG